UCGUCGAUGCCCAACUGCGAGAAGCACCGUGUCCGUGUCGUUGCAGUUGAUAACACAUACGAUCGCGAUGGCGAUUCCGGAGGUUCUCUAUAGGAGCGAUAGCGAUAAUUGAGUUUUCUCGUGGAUUAUCAUUCGUGCGAAGUGACCUCAUAAAAAUAUGAAGCGUUCGCGACGAAAGAAUCAGUCGGGCUUCCACUUUGAUCCUGCUUAGAAUACGCGCGACUUUCCACGAUGUGUCUUCUCGCGCUCGUUCUUGUCCUUGCGAUGAUAUCGGUAAGAGACAAAUUCGGGCAAAUUGUAAAUCAUUAACAAUACACAUAACGCGUCGAAAAUAGAGAGAUAGUGUAGUCCCGUUAUUUCAAGUGAACAUUGACAAUGCAGAAUAACCUCGACAUACCUUUCUCUUGUCUACGACGCUUUCGUUCAUAGAGACAAUACGGCAGUGGGAACAAGUACGAUCCGCCACCCUACUACUCACGCAGGCAGAUCGAUAAUUACGGCAACGGAAACAAGUAGGACCCGGCACCAUACUGCUCUCGAAGAUAGAGUGACGACGGAAGUAGGAUGAUGAGUAGGCCAAACGGAAUAUCAUCUGCCACUUUAUUAUUCUGGAAGUUGGAACUAAACUAUGGCAAAGAGAAUGAACAUGAUUUUAUUCUGUUUCCUCGGCACGGUUCUCCCUUGAAGUGAA